AGAGUUUGAUCCUGGCUCAGGAUGAACGCUAGCGGCAGGCCUAAUACAUGCAAGUCGAACGGCAGCACGGGUAGCAAUACCUGGUGGCGAGUGGCGCACGGGUGCGUAACGCGUAUGCAACCUACCUUUAACCGGGACACAACAUCGAGAAAUCGGUGCUAAUAUCCCAUAACAUCACGAACAGGCAUCUGUUUAUGAUUAAAGCUCCGGCGGUUUUAGAUGGGCAUGCGUGACAUUAGCUUGUUGGUGAGGUAACGGCUCACCAAGGCUACGAUGUCUAGGGGUUCUGAGAGGAUUAUCCCCCACACUGGUACUGAGACACGGACCAGACUCCUACGGGAGGCAGCAGUAAGGAAUAUUGGUCAAUGGGCGCAAGCCUGAACCAGCCAUGCCGCGUGCAGGAAGACGGCCCUAUGGGUUGUAAACUGCUUUUGUACGGGAAAAAACCUCUGGUUUCGUAUCAGAGCUGAUGGUACCGUAAGAAUAAGGAUCGGCUAACUCCGUGCCAGCAGCCGCGGUAAUACGGAGGAUCCAAGCGUUAUCCGGAUUUAUUGGGUUUAAAGGGUGCGCAGGCGGAAUGAUUAGUCAGUGGUGAAAUCCUACGGCUCAACUGUAGAACUGCCAUUGAUACUGUCAUUCUUGAGUAUAAUUGAUGUGGGCGGAAUGUGUCAUGUAGCGGUGAAAUGCUUAGAUAUGACACAGAACACCGAUCGCGAAGGCAGCUCACAAAGCUAUAACUGACGCUCAGCACGAAAGCGUGGGGAUCAAACAGGAUUAGAUACCCUGGUAGUCCACGCCGUAAACGAUGAUUACUCGAUGUUGGCGAUACACUGUCAGCGUCUGAACGAAAGUAUUAAGUAAUCCACCUGGGGGAGUACGGUCGCAAGACUGAAACUCAAAGGAAUUGACGGGGGCCCGCACAAGCGGAGG
rnacentral:rRNA from 1 species